rnacentral:rRNA from 1 species
UACGUAGGGUGCAAGCGUUGUCCGGAAUUAUUGGGCGUAAAGAGCUCGUAGGCGGUCUGUCGCGUCUGCUGUGAAAACUCGGGGCUUAACCCCGGGCCUGCAGUGGGUACGGGCAGACUAGAGUGCGGUAGGGGAGACUGGAAUUCCUGGUGUAGCGGUGAAAUGCGCAGAUAUCGGGAAGAACACCCGUGGCGAAGGCGGGUCUCUGGACAGUUCCUGACGCUGAGGCACGAAGGUCAGGGGAGCAAACGGG